UCGUUCUGCUGUUAGUAUUUCAGUGCUAAGCUAGCCUAGUUAAUUGAGCUCUGGGCAAGUGAGUCUGUCGCUAGUCUUAGGUGAGAGGGCUGUGAUUUAAUUUCCACAUAUUUGAAAACUAAUCCGUGUUUUUUCAGGAUCUGAGUCAGAUCUGCUCUCAACUGAUGCGGAAAGACAGAUAAAGUGUUCUGCUGAAAGGAACGCGCCUCGAGCGUAAACGUGAAUAUGACAGGCCCAAGUAUGAGAUCAGAUGAGUGUUUCAGCGCCGCCUUGUGGACAAUAAGUGCAUCUGCAUUUCUAUAUGAAAACAGCAGCAGGAGGAAAGAGACUUAAAGCAAGUGGUGCUCAAUGCAGAGCCAAAAGACGUCCAGCUCCACCUCUGUGGAUCAAAUGGGUGGAGGGAGAGAGUAAUGGGCGGGGUUAGGGUGUGGUUAGACCUUCUAGCUCCACCCAUUACACCCAAAUUACAUCUAGAGAGGGAUCUGGACUUCACGCUCCACCCGUGGCUCUGCGGUGAACAGCUGCUCAAAUACAGUGUAAUCCUGCUCUGGCUGAGCCACUCUCCGGAGUUUAGCUCCAACCUCAUUUAAAACACCUGAAGCAGCUAAUCAAGGUCUUUGUGUUUACUAGAAACUUCCAGGCAGGUGUGAUUGACUGUUUGUUAUUAAAAUAAAAACACGUUACUUGAAUAAAUCAAUGUUUUUAUCAUAGUUAUGUGUAGCACAUACUCACA